GUGGGGAAUAUUGGACAAUGGGCGCAAGCCUGAUCCAGCCAUGCCGCGUGUGUGAAGAAGGCCUUCGGGUUGUAAAGCACUUUUGUCCGGGAAGAAAUCUUCCAGGUUAAUACCCUGGGAGGCUGACGGUACCGGAAGAAUAAGCACCGGCUAACUUCGUGCCAGCAGCCGCGGUAAUACGAAGGGUGCAAGCGUUACUCGGAAUUACUGGGCGUAAAGCGUGCGUAGGUGGUUCGUUAAGUCUGCCGUGAAAGCCCCGGGCUCAACCUGGGAAUGGCGGUGGAUACUGGCGGGCUAGAGUGCGGUAGAGGGUGGUGGAAUUCCCGGUGUAGCAGUGAAAUGCGUAGAGAUCGGGAGGAACAUCUGUGGCGAAGGCGGCCACCUGGACCAGCACUGACACUGAGGCACGAAAGCGUGGGGAGCAAACAGGAUUAGAUACCCCGGUAGUCC
rnacentral:rRNA from 1 species